rnacentral:rRNA from 1 species
AACGAACGCUGGCGGCGUGCUUAACACAUGCAAGUCGAACGAGAAAGUCCUUCGGGGCGAGUAGAGUGGCGCACGGGUGAGUAAUAGAUAGGAACGUGUCGAUUGGAGGGGGAUAACUACGGGAAACUGUAGCUAAUACCGCAUAAUAUCUUCGGAUCAAAGGGGGCCUCUUCUUGAAAGCUUCCACCAAUCGAGUGGCCUAUCUCCCAUUAGCUUGUUGGUAGGGUAAAGGCCUACCAAGGCGACGAUGGGUAGCUGGUCUGAGAGGAUGAUCAGCCACACUGGGACUGAGACACGGCCCAG